ACGAGUGCGUAACACGUGAGAACCUGCCCUUUAGUGAGGAAUACCCUCGAGAAAUCGAGGUUAAUACUGCAUACGUCCGGUAUAGAAAUAUAUUGGAGAAAGAUGGCUUUAUGCUGUCGCUAAAGGAGGGGCUUGCGGCCUAUCAGCUAGUUGGUGAGGUAAUGGCUCACCAAGGCUAUGACGGGUAGCCGACCCGAGAGGGUGACCGGCCACGCUGGAACUGAGACACGGUCCAGACUCCUACGGGUGGCAGCAGUGGGGAAUCUUGCACAAUGGGCGAAAGCCUGAUGCAGCGACGCCGCGUGAAGGAUGAAGGUCUUCGGAUUGUAAACUUCUGUUAAACGGGAGAAAAGACUCGUGCCUAAUACGCACGGGGAAUGAUAGUACCGUUAGAGAAAGCACCGGCUAACUUCGUGCCAGCAGCCGCGGUAAUACGAGGGGUGCAAGCGUUAUCCGGAAUUAUUGGGCGUACAGGGUGCGUAGGCGGCUUAUUAAAUCAAUUGUUAAAUCUCCCGGCCUAACUGGGAACCAGCAAUUGAUACUGACGAGCUAGAGGAUGGAAGAGAGAAGCGGAAUUCUCGGA
rnacentral:rRNA from 1 species